UUGAGGGCAAGUCUGGUGCCAGUAGCUGCGGUAAUUCUAGCUCCAAUAGCGUAUAUUAAAGUUGUUGCAGUUAAAAGCUCGUAGUUGAAUUUCGGGAUUAGUAGGUUGGUCAUGCCUCUGGUAUGUACUGGUCUCACUGAUUCCUCCUUCCUGAUGAACCGUAAUGCCAUUAAUUUGGUGUUAUGGGGAAUUUGGGCUGUUACUUUGAAAAAAUUAGAGUGUUUAAAGCAGGCUAACGCUUGAAUACAUUAGCAUGGAAUAAUGAAAUAGGACGUUCGAUCCUAUUUUGUUGGUUUCUAGGAUUGACGUAAUGAUUAAUAGGGAUAUUGGGGGCAUUAGUAUUCAAUUGUCAGAGGUGAAAUUCUUGGAUUUAUUGAAGACUAACUACUGCGAAAGCAUUUGCCAAGGAUGUUUUCAUUAAUCAGUGAACGAAAGUUAGGGGAUCGAAGACGAUCAGAUACCGUUGUAGUCUUAACCAUAAACUGUGCCGACUAGGGAUCGGACGAUGUUAUUUUUUGACUCGUUCGGCGCCUUACGGGAAAC
rnacentral:rRNA from 2 species